GAUGAUUUAACUUUUCUUCUGGACAACAAAGAAAGAAAACUCGCCGGGCCCUUUUGACGCUGCAGAUGUUAUGAAACCACUUUCAGAGGGAUUUUUCGCCUUGCUUGCUUUUCAAGACGAUGCCAAACAAUGGGGUAAAGUGCCUACCGUAACACAGGACAGAUGUGGACGGGGCCUGACUGUAUGAGGUCCGAGGCUCCCCAGCAGCAUCGCACCACCCAGAGGCAUCUGCUCAGGAGAUCUGAGGGACCGACCGGGGAUUUUCUUUUUGUGUUCUGGUCCGGCUGUGGAUUGUGGUUAUUGUUAUAAGGCACAACAGGAUGGACACCGGAUCAAACCUGUGACCUUCAGAGGACUGAUGAAGCACAGGGCACUAGAGCCUGAUGCAGCCGUCUGUGACACGUCACAGUGUCUGAAUGCAAAGGUAUGUCCUGCAUUAUCUG